CGGCGAUGAUUAAUCUGAGUAUCUAGUGGGCCAUUUUUGGUAAGCAGAACUGGCGCUGUGGGAUGAACCAAACGUCGAGUUAAGGGGCCUAAAUGAAUGCUCAUUCAGAUCCCAUCGAAAGGUGUUGGUUGCUAUAGACAGCAGGACGGUGGCCAUGGAAGUCGGAAUCCGCUAAGGAGUGUGUAACAACUCACCUGCCGAAGCAACUAGCCCUUAAAAUGGUAUGGCGCUGAAGCAUUCUCCCGAUACUCGACCGCCGGGGCACUAGCGGCCACAAAGCCCCAGAGGCGAGGUCUCGAAGCCCCGGUGAGUAAGAGGGUCGCAGUGGUGAGCGCUGAAGGGAUCCGGCGUGAGCCGGCCUGGAGCCGCCACUGGUGCAGAUCUUGGUGGUAGUAGCAAAUACUCGAGAGAGACUCCCUCGAAGACCGAAGUGGAGAAGGGUUCCAUGUGAACAUCAGUUGGACAUGGGUUAGUCGCUCCUAAGCCCAAGGCUAAGGCCUGAUCCCAUGCUAGCGGC
rnacentral:rRNA from 1 species